rnacentral:rRNA from 1 species
AGAGUUUGAUUAUGGCUCAGGAUGAACGCUAGCGGCAGGCUUAACACAUGCAAGUCGAGGGGCAUCGGGAGUAGCAAUACUUGCCGGCGACCGGCGCAAGGGUGCGUAACGCGUGAGCAACAUGCCCGUAUCAGGGGGAUAAUCCAUGGAAACGUGGUCUAAUACCCCAUAGUAAUUAUGUAAGGCAUCUUAUAUAAUUUAAAGCUUUGGUGGAUACGAAUUGGCUCGCGUGACAUUAGCUGGAUGGUAAGGUAACGGCUUACCCAUGGCUACGAUGUCUAGGGGUUCUGAGAGGAAGGUCCCCCACACUGGAACUGAGACACGGUCCAGACUCCUACGGGAGGCAGCAGUGGGGAAUAUUGGGCAAUGGAGGAAACUCUUUAACCCCCAGCAAUGCCGCGUGAGUGAUGAAGGUCUUCGGAUUGUAAAGCUCUUUGAUUGGGGACGAAUAAAUGACGGUACUCAAGGAACAAGCCCCGGCUAACUAUGUGCCAGCCGCCGC